ensembl:snoRNA U3 Small nucleolar RNA U3
AAGAAUAUACUCUCAGGGAUCAUUUCUACAGUUUAUUACUAGAGAAGCUUCUCUGAUUCUGCAGAGCACCAGGAACCAUGAGAGGAGCCAGAGAAUCAAAGAGCUCAGGAGAGCACGGAACCUGUUCUAGGUGUUGCUCUUGCAGCUGCCUCUCGGCAUUGAUGAUCAUUCUUCUCUUCCCUAGGAGAGGGACAGGAUUCAGUCUGAGCGG